CCAGGAUUCUAUAGUUAACAGUUAGUGGAAAGUCUGGUUCGAGAGCUGAGUCUUGCUGUUCAUUCUAAACGUGACAAGGUUUGAAUUUAAGACAUGUUUGAAGAGAAAUUUGAAAUGUUGAAAACUCCCGCAGAAUGGAAAUUCCAUUUUCCAGCCACCUCUAGAUGAAAAAACGGUCAGCUGCCUUUGACCUCACUGGGAGCGGAGAUUAAGUGGAGACUUAUGGCAGCAAAGUGAAGAAGAUAGUUUGAGCAGUCGGAGCCGCGAGACCAGAGGACCGGCAGAGCGCCCCCCACGGCAUGCCACCGUGCUUGGGGCAGCGAAAUGUCUAGAGCUGCCCCUGAUUGUAUUAUCCUGAACUGUUCUCAUUACAUAGAUUUCUAACUGGGCAACACAUUGAGUUGUUGUUUUUAUGUAAUAUUUUGU